UGCGUAGGCGGUGCGGAAAGUUGGGUGUGAAAUCCCUCGGCUCAACCGAGGAAUUGCGCUCAAAACUACCGUGCUCGAGGGAGAUAGAGGAAUGCGGAACUUAGGGUGGAGCGGUGAAAUGCGUUGAUAUCCUAGGGAACACCGGUGGCGAAAGCGGCAUUCUGGAUCUCAUCUGACGCUGAUGCACGAAAGCUAGGUAGCAAACG
rnacentral:rRNA from 1 species